rnacentral:lncRNA from 1 species
GUGCCACUGCACUCUAGCCUCAGUGACGUGAGUGAAAUUCCAUCUCAAAAAUAAAAAUAAGAAAACUCCAAUGAACUAAAUGAACUAAGGAACAAUUUCCUGUUCUAGCCACAAAAAAAAGAAAGAAAAUACAUAGGUUCCUGAAUUUAGAAUAUUAAAAUAUGCUGAAUUUAAAUGACAUCUGAUUUUUUACCCACUAGCUAAGAGCUUUCUAGGGGGAAAAUGCUGAAUAUGUGGAAAAGUUUAAUUACUCUAUGAAUUAGAAGAAAUUUUCUUGUAAUAAGACCAUUCAUGGAAAUGGUGCCUCAAGGGCCCUGUGAACUCUACAACCCAAGAUGUAAAAUUUAUAUCUCACCAUCAUUUUCUCUCCCAAGACAGACUGUCCCUGAAGUGUUGUCUACUGUUGUGGAGGCAAUCACUGUCAUUCCCAGGCACUGAGCCUCGAAACUGCAGAGUCAAAGGUGACCUCCUUUUCCCUGGCCGCUCACACCACCUCCAUCGAUUCUCCCUGGGCAGCACUUCUGCUGCCAGUGGCGUGACUUGGUCACGCAGGCCCUUCCUCUGGGCCACAGCCACUGUCUUCCAGCCAAUUGACCUUCUGAUUCCAGCUGUGGCUUCUCUCAACUUCCCACAGACGGCCUGAGACUGUGCCGACAGCAGAAUUGAUUCCUAUGAUCCUGAAUGUAAAGUCUGAGUAUCAAAUCUGCAUCUCUUGGGACCAUUGCAAGCUGCAGAAAAUGAGAAGACCCUACUGACCAGCCCAAGAAGACAGAUGACAAGAUACUGAGAGACAGGGUCUU